rnacentral:lncRNA from 1 species
UGUAACCAUCUCUCCAGCACAAGGACAGGUGGUGCCUCAUUCUCACAGCUGGUUUCUGACCAUGUAGUGCCAGUCAGUGACCUUGAGACAUGACCCUGCUCACCUGCGACAUGAAGGAGGAGGAGACCAGGGAUUUAUCAGCCACACCGACCCCCCUUGAUGGCUACAGGGAUCCAGGCGUGUUUGCCUCCUGGAAAUGUGCAGAAAAAUCCGUGACCCGUCUGAACCCACGUGGAGAAAACUGGAGGAGGAGUGAACUCAGGAUGGAUGAAUAAUGCCAAAGAUAAACACGUAAUAAAUAGGUAAAAACCCUUCCGUGGCUCCUCACUCUCCUCGGAAGACAGUCCAAACUUGAGAGUGGCCCUGUGGCCUUUGGGGGCCAGGCACAGACCAAGCUCGCACACCGAGGGGCUCGUCACCUUCUCUCCCUUGGACACACAGACUGGACUGAAUGGUGCCAGCUUCUCCUCUUUAGAACCUCACAUCCUCUGCCUGGCACACUGUCUCCUCUUCUUGUUACUUGCUAAAUGUCACUUCCUCCAGGAAGCCCUCCCUGCCUAAUUGACUUUAGUUCAAACCCCGGGCUCCCGCUGCACUUCUUUGUAGCCCUCGUCAUUGUAAUGAUCUAAAAAAAAUCUAAAAAAACCCAAAUGCACGCGAGUGUGUGUGUGUGUGUGUGUGUGUGUGUGUGUGUGUGAGACCCACACCCCUCCCCCCACUCGCAUGUGGCCUGGGUGAGCCCCUUUCUGUUGGAUUUUCCUGGCUGUGCCUGGCACCCAGGGAGAGCUCCGGAAAUGUUUCCUGAGUGAAUCCUGGACUGGGUGUAAUCUGACAUCCGACGUGCAGCCUGUUGAUCCGGUUGCCAGCAAUGCACCUGACUGGGUCACUCCUGAGUCUGGGAACUGAGUCUGGGAACCUGGGCACCCACAGCCCAGCCCCAUCCUCCGGCCUGAAGGCUCUGCCUGG